AAUGAACGCUGGCGGCGUGCUUAACACAUGCAAGUCGAACGAGAACGCCUCAGCUUGCUGAGGCAAGUAAAGUGGCGCACGGGUGAGUAACGCGUGGGUAAUCUACCUCCGAAUUGGGGAUAACAUUGCGAAAGCGGUGCUAAUACCGAAUAAUAUCCUCAAGACUCAGGUUUUGAGGACCAAAGGUGGCCUCUACAUGUAAGCUACUGUUUGGAGAUGAGCCCGCGUACCAUUAGCUUGUUGGUGGGGUAACGGCCUACCAAGGCUGCGAUGGUUAGCUGGUCUGAGAGGAUGAUCAGCCACACUAGAACUGACACACGGUCCAGACUCCUACGGGAGGCAGCAGUGAGGAAUUUUGCGCAAUGGGGGAAACCCUGACGCAGCAACGCCGCGUGAGUGAUGAAGGCCUUCGGGUCGGUAAAGACUCUGUCAGUGGAGAAGUCUGUCCGGUUGGAUAAUACCGACUGGCGAAUGACGG
rnacentral:rRNA from 1 species